GGGCGCAAAGUUCUAUAAUAUUGAUAGUUUGCACUUAGAGCUUGGGAUGAACCUUUUCCUUUAUGGUGCAAUUUUGCGAGAAAGCGCUUUGGAAGUUCUAACAGAAGAUCUGGUGUAGUCUGCUACUCUGUACAGGAAAGCUGUCGGAGUUUAUCACUAUCUGGUUAAUGAAGUACUUCAAUCUUUACAACCUCCAUUCACUCAGGAAAGACCGCCAGAAUGUACCUCAUCUGUGUGUUCCAUUAUGAGCUUAAUUUGCCUUGCUGAAGCACAGAGUUGUUUGAUGAGGCUGGCAGUAUUCUACAUUCAGUGAAGAAAGACUCCAAAGAUACAAUUGCAAACAAGGAUUUCCUUUGUCCUCAUUCAACUUUUCUUUUUCAUUAUAGUUGUCAGUUUUUGGCUUUUGCUUAUCCUUUAUUGAUAGAUUCUAUGCUAUAAGGAUAUCCAUUUAUCAUGUCUAUG